rnacentral:piRNA from 1 species
UGCCAUCUCCUCUGGUUCUUGAUCUUGGA